AUUUGAUUCUUCUCUCUUUUCUUCUUUAUUAGCCUGGCUAGUGGUCUAUGUAUUUUGUUAAUCUUUUCAAAAAACCAGCUCCUGGAUUCAUUGAUUUUUUGAAGGGUUUUUCGUGUUUCUCUCUCCUUCAGUUCUGCUCUGACCUUAGUUAUUUCUUAUCUUCUGCUAGCUUUUGAAUUAGUUUGCUCUUGCUUCUCUAGUUCUUUUAAUUGUGAUGUUAGGGUGUCAAUUUUACAUCUUUUCUGCUUUCUCCUGUGGGCAUUUAGUGCUAUAAACUUCCCUCUAAACAUUGCUUUAGCUGUGUCCCAGAGAUUUGGGUAUGUUGUGUCUUGGUUCUCAUUGGUUUCAAAGAACUUCUUUGUUUCUGCCUUAAUUUCAUUAUUUUCCCAGUAUUCAUUCAGGAACAGGUGGUUCAGUUUCCAUGCAGUUGUGCAGGUUUGAGUGAGUUUCUUAAUCCUGAGUUCUAAUUUGAUUGCACUGAGGUCUCAGAGACUGUGUUAUGAUUUCCAUUGUUUUGCAUUUGUUGAGGAGUGUUUUACUCCCAAUCAUGUGGUUAGUUUUAGAAUAAGUGUGAUGUGGUGCUAAGAAGAAUGUCUAUUCUGUUGAUUUGGGGUGGAGAGUUCUGUAGAUGUCUAUUAGGUCUGCUUGGUCCAGAGCUGAGUUCAAGUCCUGAAUAUCCUUGUUAAUUUUCUGUCUCAUUGAUCUGUCAAAUAUUGACAGUGGGGUGUUAAAGUCUCCCACUAUUAUUGUGUGGGAGUCUAAGUCUCUUUGUAGGUCUCCAAGGACUUGCUUUAUGAAUCUGGGUGCUCCUGUAUUGGGUGCAUACAUACUUAGGAUAGUUAGCUCUUCUUGUUGCAUUGAUCCCUUUACCAUUAUGUAAUGCCCUUCUUGUCUUUUUUGAUCUUCGUUGGUUUAAAGUCUGUUUUAUCAGAGACUAGGAUUGCAACCCCUGCUUUUUUUGUUGUUGUUGUUGUUUUUUUUUUUUUGCUUUCCAUUUGCUUGGUAAAUCUUCCUCCAUUCCUUUAUUUAGAGCACGUGUCUUUGCAUGUGAGAUGAGUCUCCUGAAUACAGCACACUGAUGGGUCUUGACUCUUUAUCCAACUUGCCAGUCUGUGUCUUUUAAUUGUGGCACUUAGCCCGUUUACUUUUAAGGUUAAUAUUGUUAUAUGUGAAUCUGACCCUGUCAUUAUGAUGCUAGCCAGUUAGUUUGCCCAUUAGUUGAUGCCCAUUAGUUUCUUCAUAUUGUCGAUGGUCUUUACAAUUUGAUAUGUUUUUGCAGUGGCUGGGACCAAUUUUUCCUUUCCAUAUUUAGUGCUUCCUUCAGGAGCUCUUGUAAUGCAGGCCUGGUGGUGACAAAAUCUCUCAACAUUUGCUUAUCUGUAAAGGAUUUUAUUUCUCCUUCACUUAUGAAGCUUAGUUUGGCUGGAUACAAAAUUCUGGGUUGAAAAUUCCUUUCUUUAAGAAUGUUGAAUAUUGGCCCCCACUCUUUUCUGGCCUGUAGGGUUUCUGCAGAGAGAUCCACUAUUAGUCUGAUGGGCUUCCCUUUGUAGGUAACCCGACCUUUCUCUCUGGCUGCUCUUAACAUUUUUUCCUUCAUUUCAACCUUGGUGAAUCUCACGAUUAUGUGUCUUGGGGUUGCUCUUCUUGAGGAGUAUCUUUGUGGUGUUCUCUGUAUUUCCUGAAUUGGAAUGUUGGCCUGUCGUGCUAGGUUGGGGAAGUUCUCCUGAAUAAUAUCCUGAAGAGUGUUUUCCAAAUUGGUUCAAUUCUCCCUGUCACUUUCAGGUACAGGGACAAUCAAACAUAGGUUUGGUCUUUUCACAUAGUCCCCUAUUUCUUGGAGGCUUUGUUCGUUUCUUUUCAUUCUUUUUUCUCUAAUCUUGUCUUCACACUUUAUUUCAUAAAGGUGAUCUUCAAUCUCUGAUAUCCUUUCUUCUGCUUUGGCUGUUGAUACUUGUGUAUGCUUCACGAAGUUCUUGUGCUGUGUUUUUCAGCUCCAUCAGGUCAUUUAUGUUCUUCUCUAAACUGCUUAUUUUAGGUAGCAAUUCCUCUAACCUUUUUUCAAGGUUUUUAGCUUCCUUGCAUUGGGUUAGAACAUGGUCCUUUGGCUUGGAGGAGUUUAUUAUUACCCACCUUCUGAAGCCUACUUCUGUCAAUUCAUCAAACUCAUUCUCUGUCCAGUUUUGCUCCCUUGCUGGCGAGGAGUUGUGAUUUUUUGGAAGAGAAAAGGCAUUCUGGUUUUUGGAAUUGUCAGCCUUUUUGCGCUGGUUUUUCCUCAUCUUCAUGGAUUUAUCUACCUUUGGUCUUCGAUGUUGGUGACCUUCAAAUGGGGUUUCUGUGUGGAAGUCCUUUUUGUUGAUAUUGAUGCUAUUCAUUUCUGUUUGUUAGUUCUCCUUCUAACAGUCAGGCCCCUCUGCUGCAGGUCUGCUGGAAUUUGCUGGAGGUCCACUCCAGACCCUGUUUGUCUGGAUAUCACCAGCAGAGGUUGCAGAACAACAAAGAUUGCUGCCUGUUCCUUCCUCUGGAAGCUUUGUCCCAGAGGGGCACCCACCAGACGGCAGCUGGAGCUCUCCUGUUCCCUCUGCUAUGGCUCUUCCUCAGUAGAAACAACUGGCAACAAAAUUCAAGUUUAUGAUUCAUUCAUCAGCAAACAUGUGAGAAUCAUCUACAAAGAACCAAGAAUUGUGAGAAAGCGACCUCAAGAUACAACUGGCAACUGAGGAAAAGGCCUCAAUUCAACAAGCGCUAACAAGCUUGGGAAUUUAUUUCGGAAUCUUUAAAAGACUCUUCUGCUUACCCACAAUCUGGGAUCCACUGCAGGAAAACAAAAAAGGAAAACUUCAUUUAAAAGAAGCAAGAAGUAAAAUGGGACAAAUUGGGAAUGUUUAAGUCUCUGAAACUCUGCACUGAAAAGAAAAUAAGAUUGAUAACUUAAGCUUAACAUUCUGAGGCAUAAAGAAACAUUAACUUUGGAGUAUUCAUCUUGACUACUGAAAUACAAGUUUGGAAGACAAGUGGUUUCAUUCUGGUCACAGAUCACAGCUUUUCUUUAAAUUUAUAAUCCUAUGGGUUGGCCUCGUUGACUGUAUUUUUUAAAGGUUGCUCGUCAGUUAACUGAGCCUUGGAAUUCAUGGAUUUUCUAAAGACUAACAAAUGAAAAUAUUUUCCUGUUGAAGAACCCAGCGGAAAUUUUACAGCAACAAAUUUCAUGUUUCUUUUGGGUAUUUCUGAGAAAAAGGAAAUAUUUAUAAAACCAUCCAAAGAUCCAGAUAAUUUGCAAAUAAAUUGGAGGUUAUAGAGGUUAUAAUCUGAAUCCCAAAGGAGACUGCAGCUGAUGAAAGUGCUUCCAAACUGAAAAUUGGACGUGCCUUUAUGAUGGAUUUUUUACUUCACAACACGGAAUUGGCCAUUUGGAGAUUUACUUUGUAAGAUUUCUGUGAUGCUGUUUUAUACCAACAUGUACGGAAGCAUUCUGUUCUUAACCUGUAUUAGUGUAGAUCGAUUUCUGGCAAUUGUCUACCCAUUUAAGUCAAAGACUCUAAGAACCAAAAGAAAUGCAAAGAUUGUUUGCACUGGCGUGUGGUUAACUGUGAUCGGAGGAAGUGCACCCGCCGUUUUUGUUCAGUCUACCCACUCUCAGGGUAACAAUGCCUCAGAAGCCUGCUUUGAAAAUUUUCCAGAAGCCACAUGGAAAACAUAUCUCUCAAGGAUUGUAAUUUUCAUCGAAAUAGUGGGAUUUUUUAUUCCUCUAAUUUUAAAUGUAACUUGUUCUAGUAUGGUGCUAAAAACUUUAACCAAACCUGUUACAUUAAGUAGAAGCAAAAUAAACAAAACUAAGGUUUUAAAAAUGAUUUUUGUACAUUUGAUCAUAUUCUGUUUCUGUUUUGUUCCUUACAAUAUCAAUCUUAUUUUAUAUUCUCUUGUGAGAACACAAACAUUUGUUAAUUGCUCAGUAGUGGCAGCAGUAAGGACAAUGUACCCAAUCACUCUCUGUAUUGCUGUUUCCAACUGUUGUUUUGACCCUAUAGUUUACUACUUUACAUCGGACACAAUUCAGAAUUCAAUAAAAAUGAAAAACUGGUCUGUCAGGAGAAGUGACUUCAGAUUCUCUGAAGUUCAUGGUGCAGAGAAUUUUAUUCAGCAUAACCUACAGACCUUAAAAAGUAAGAUAUUUGACAAUGAAUCUGCUGCCUGAAAUAAAACCAUUAGGACUCACUGGGACAGAACUUUCAAGUUCCUUCAACUGUGAAAAGUGUCUUUUUGGACAAACUAUUUUUCCACCUCCAAAAGAAAUUAACACAUGGACAUUUUAAAGUCUUUAGUAUAAAGAAAAUUUGUAUUCAAUGUGUUAAGCAUUAACAUGUAUUUUAUUUGUGUAUCCACUCCAUCUGAUUUUUCUGAGCCAUUUUGAUUUGUUCCUUCAUUAAAAAAAAUCUCUUAAAGUUA